rnacentral:rRNA from 1 species
AGUGACAAGAAAUAACAAUACAGGGCCUAACGGUCUUGUAAUUGGAAUGAGUUAAGUAUAAACCCCUUUACAAGUAUCAAUUGGAGGGCAAGUCUGGUGCCAGCAGCCGCGGUAAUUCCAGCUCCAAUAGCGUAUAUUAAAGUUGUUGCAGUUAAAAAGCUCGUAGUUGAUUUUCUGUUAAUUUUUAUGUGUAAUAUUGCGAUAUUUACAUAAUAUUAACAUAAUUCACAUUACUUUACAGUAUGUGGAAUUUUACUUUGAGAAAAUUAGAGUGCUUAAAGCAGG